rnacentral:tRNA from 1 species
GGAAAUACAGCUUAGUGGUAGAGGAUGUGUUUAGCAUGCACAAGGUCCUGGGUUCAAUCCCCAGCACUUCCA